rnacentral:rRNA from 2 species
AGACCCGAAACCCGGUGAUCUAGCCAUGGGCAGGUUGAAGGUUGGGUAACACUAACUGGAGGACCGAACCGACUAAUGUUGAAAAAUUAGCGGAUGACCUGUGGCUGGGGGUGAAAGGCCAAUCAAACCGGGAGAUAGCUGGUUCUCCCCGAAAGCUAUUUAGGUAGCGCCUCGUGAAUUCAUCUCCGGGGGUAGAGCACUGUUUCGGCUAGGGGGCCAUCCCGGCUUACCAACCCGAUGCAAACUGCGAAUACCGGAGAAUGUUAUCACGGGAGACACACGGCGGGUGCUAACGUCCGUCGUGAAGAGGGAAACAACCCAGACCGCCAGCUAAGGUCCCAAAGUCAUGGUUAAGUGGGAAACGAUGUGGGAAGGCCCAGACAGCCAGGAUGUUGGCUUAGAAGCAGCCAUCAUUUAAAGAAAGCGUAAUAGCUCACUGGUCGAGUCGGCCUGCGCGGAAGAUGUAACGGGGCUAAACCAUGCACCGAAGCUGCGGCAGCGACACUCAGGUGUUGUUGGGUAGGGGAGCGUUCUGUAAGCCUGCGAAGGUGGCCUGUGAGGGUUGCUGGAGGUAUCAGAAGUGCGAAUGCUGACAUAAGUAACGAUAAAGCGGGUGAAAAGCCCGCUCGCCGGAAGACCAAGGGUUCCUGUCCAACGUUAAUCGGGGCAGGGUGAGUCGACCCCUAAGGCGAGGCCGAAAGGCGUAGUCGAUGGGAAACGGGUUAAUAUUCCCGUACUUGGUGUUACUGCGAAGGGGGGACGGAGAAGGCUAUGUUGGCCGGGCGACGGUUGUCCCGGUUUAAGCGUGUAGGUGUGUGUUCCAGGUAAAUCCGGUUCACUUUAACACUGAGGCGUGACGACGAGGCACUACGGUGCUGAAGCAACAAAUGCCCUGCUUCCAGGAAAAGCCUCUAAGCAUCAGGUAACAUCAAAUCGUACCCCAAACCGACACAGGUGGUCAGGUAGAGAAUACCAAGGCGCUUGAGAGAACUCGGGUGAAGGAACUAGGCAAAAUGGUGCCGUAACUUCGGGAGAAGGCACGCUGACACGUAGGUGAAGUGAUUUACUCACGGAGCUGAAGUCAGUCGAAGAUACCAGCUGGCUGCAACUGUUUAUUAAAAACACAGCACUGUGCAAACACGAAAGUGGACGUAUACGGUGUGACGCCUGCCCGGUGCCGGAAGGUUAAUUGAUGGGGUCAGCGCAAGCGAAGCUCCUGAUCGAAGCCCCGGUAAACGGCGGCCGUAACUAUAACGGUCCUAAGGUAGCGAAAUUCCUUGUCGGGUAAGUUCCGACCUGCACGAAUGGCGUAAUGAUGGCCAGGCUGUCUCCACCCGAGACUCAGUGAAAUUGAACUCGCUGUGAAGAUGCAGUGUACCCGCGGCAAGACGGAAAGACCCCGUGAACCUUUACUAUAGCUUGACACUGAACAUUGAGCCUUGAUGUGUAGGAUAGGUGGGAGGCUUUGAAGUGUGG